rnacentral:rRNA from 1 species
GACAGAGGGGGCAAGCGUUGUCCGGACUGACUGGGCGUAAAGCGCGCGCAGGCGGGUGCGGGCGUCGGUGCUGAAAGACCACCGCUUAACGGUGGCUCGCGUGCCGAUACGCCGCGCCUGGAGCCAUGCAGAGGCCAGUGGAAUUGCCGGUGUAGUGGUGAAAUGCGUAGAGAUCGGCAGGAACACCCAUGGGGAAACCAACUGGCUGGGCAUGUGCUGACGCUGAGGCGCGACAGCGUGGGGAGCGAACUGG